CCACCAAUUCUCACACUAUCAAAUAAUUCGUUUUUUAUGUCGGGGACACAAUUUUUACGUAAUUUUGUUCGUAAUUUCCAGUCUAUAUAUAUAUAAUUCGUCUAAGAUUGCAACGUAAUA